rnacentral:rRNA from 1 species
AACGUAGGAUGCAAGCGUUAUCCGGAGUUACUGGGCGUAAAGCGCGGGCAGGCGGCUCGAUGCGUCCGAUGUGAAAUCCCCCGGCUCAACCGGGAGAGGCCAUUGGAAACGGUCGGGCUGGAGGGCAGUAGAGGCAGGCGGAAUUCCGGGUGGAGUGGUGAAAUGCGUAGAGAUCCGGAGGAACACCAGAGGCGAAGGCGGUUAGCUGGGCAGUUGCUGACACUGAGGCGCGACAGCGUGGGGAGCAAACAGG